rnacentral:rRNA from 1 species
UGGGGAAUUUUGGACAAUGGGGGAAACCCUGAUCCAGCCAUCCCGCGUGUGCGAUGAAGGCCUUCGGGUUGUAAAGCACUUUUGGCAGGAAAGAAACGUCAUGGGUUAAUACCCCGUGAAACUGACGGUACCUGCAGAAUAAGCACCGGCUAACUACGUGCCAGCAGCCGCGGUAAUACGUAGGGUGCAAGCGUUAAUCGGAAUUACUGGGCGUAAAGCGUGCGCAGGCGGUUCGGAAAGAAAGAUGUGAAAUCCCAGAGCUCAACUUUGGAACUGCAUUUUUAACUACCGGGCUAGAGUGUGUCAGAGGGAGGUGGAAUUCCGCGUGUAGCAGUGAAAUGCGUAGAUAUGCGGAGGAACACCGAUAGCGAAGGCAGCCUCCUGGGUUAACACUGACGCUCAUGCACGAAAGCGUGGGGAGCAAACAGG